AAGAAAUGUCAAAGGUUUGUUCGUUGUAUUUCUGUUUAGCACAGACGUGUUUAGUAAUCGAAAAUGUACAUAUAUUUGUUACGGUUAAAGUAGACAUUUGGUAAAUGUGCACAUGUUAACACUACUCCCAUUUGUAUGUUAGUUUUCACGCUCCCCAAGGUAAUGCCUACUGAGGAAAUCUGUUCUGGUCCUGGAUCACCAACGACUUAUUGUUACCUGUUUGGAUGUUCUUUUCGUAUAGUGCUGUGAGGUAGGUAUAGCUACUCGUGGCUUAUGUUCUUAGGAAUGGACCUCAAGAUAAACACGUGGCUUAAGCUGUUGUGAGUGGACCUCAAGAUAAGACUUGUGAACAAAACGCUAAGUGUUUCGGGAUCUGAUGAGGAUUGGAUUGCUUUUUAAAAGGGCCUGCAACUUAGCGUAGCUGCUUGUGUCGACAUUAUUGUUCAAAAGUAAUUUAGAUCGUAACAUGGGAUACGUUUUGCACAAUGUUGUAGAUGCUUUAAUUGCCUGUGAUAAUAUAAGCCAACACUACGUUUUCUGAAAAUAAGUGUGUUUUUUCCUCAUCCCCCGCUCCAAAGAUUUGUCCCUACACUGCUUUUG